GAUGAACGCUAGCUACAGGCUUAACACAUGCAAGUCGAGGGGAGACGGCAGCUUAGCUCGCUAAGCUGGACGUCGACCGGCGCACGGGUGAGUAACGCGUAUCCAACCUGCCCCACGGUGAGGGAUAACCCGCGGAAACGCGGCCUAAUACCUCAUGGCCUCCGAGCUUGACAUCAACCUUGGAGUAAAGAUUCAUUGCCGUGGGAUGGGGAUGCGUCUGAUUAGCUUGUUGGCGGGGCAACGGCCCACCAAGGCGACGAUCAGUAGGGGUUCUGAGAGGAAGGUCCCCCCACAUUGGAACUGAGACACGGUCCAAACUCCUACGGGAGCAGCAGUGAGGAAUAUUGGUCAAUGGACGGGAGUCUGAACCAGCCAAGUAGCGUGCAGGACGACGGCCCUAUGGGUUGUAAACUGCUUUUAUAGGGGGAUAAAGUGUGCCACGUGUGGCAUAUUGCAGGUACCCUAUGAAUAAGGAACCGGCUAAUUCCGUGCCAGCAGCCG
rnacentral:rRNA from 1 species